UCAGGAUGAACGCUGGCGGCGUAGCUUAACACAUGCAAGUCGAACGGAGUUUUAACGGAAGUUUCGGAUGGAAGUUAGGAACUAGCGGCGGACGGGUGAGUAACGCGUGGGUAACCUGCCUCAGUACAGGGGGAUAACAGUUAGAAAUGACUGCUAAGACCGCAUAAUAUAGCGAAACCGCAUGAUUUUGCUAUCAAAUAUUUAUAGGUAUGAGAUGGGCCCGCGUCUGAUUAGCUAGUUGGUGGGGUAAAAGCCUACCAAGGCGACGAUCAGUAGCCGGCUUGAGAGAGUGACCGGCCACAUUGGGACUGAGACACGGCCCAAACUCCUACGGGAGGCAGCAGUGGGGAAUAUUGGACAAUGGGGGAAACCCUGAUCCAGCGACGCCCGCGUGAGUGAAGAAGUAUUUCGGUAUGUAAAGCUCUAUCAGCAGGGAAGAUAAUGACAGUACCUGACUAAGAAGCCCCGGCUAACUACGUGCCAGCAGCUGC
rnacentral:rRNA from 1 species